rnacentral:miRNA from 1 species
UACCUCGUUGACCGGAAGGAAACCUUUCUGAUCAACAAGGCACCUUGCCUUGUUGACCGGAAGGGUUUCCUUCCGGUAAAUGAGGUU